GCUGUCGUCAGCUCGUGUCGUGAGAUGUUGGGUUAAGUCCCGCAACGAGCGCAACCCCCGUCGCAUGUUGCCAGCAUUAAGUUGGGGACUCAUGCGAGACUGCCGGUGACAAACCGGAGGAAGGUGGGGAUGACGCCAAGUCAUCAUGCCCCUUAUGUCCAGGGCUACACACGUGCUACAUUGGCGCAUACAGAGGGCUGCAAGACCGCGAGGUGGAGCGAAUCCCUUAAAGUGCGUCUCGGUUCGGAUUGCAGGCUGAAACUCGCCUGCAUGAAGGUGGAGUUGCUAGUAAUCGUGGAUCAGCAUUGCCACGGUGAAUACGUUCCCGGGCCUUGUACACACCGCCCGUCACACCAUGGGAGUGAGCAACACCCGAAGCCGGUGGCCUAACCCGCAAGGGAGGGAGCCGUCGAAGGUGGGGCUCGUGACUGGGGUGAAGUCGUAACAAGGUAGCCGUAGCGGAAGCUGCGGCUGGAUCACCUCCUUUCUAGGGAAGUCCCUUAUUGGGACGCCCGGAGCCCGUCAGGCAAUAGUGCCUGGCGAGUCUGGCGCUCUGGUUGAACCUUGAGUUCACCGGUGCCAGCAGUGCAUUCGGACUAGGAAUGUCGACCGAACCUGGAAAGGCGCGUUGUUUGGGAGCCAGCUCCCAGUCCACAACGUGCCGCAUGCUGUUGAGUUUUGAGAGACCGGCGCAUCGCCGGCAGGCCACUGUGCUACGGCACUGGUCUGCAGGUCAUGCGGCCGAGCCUCCUCACGGACCUUGAAAACUGCACAGUAGCCAAUGAAAACGGGUAUCACCGAGUGGUGACUUCGGUCACUACUCAAGUGAGUCACUUAGGUGACUCGCUGCAAGAUCACCGUCAAGAUAGUAAGGGCGCAUGGUGGAUGCCUUGGCACCUAGAGGCGAUGAAGGACGUGAACGGCUGCGAUAAGCCGCGGUGAGGCGCUGAAUAGCCUUUGACCCGCGGAUGUCCGAAUGGGGAAACCCGG
rnacentral:sRNA from 1 species